UACAGAGGGGGCAAGCGUUGUUCGGAAUUACUGGGCGUAAAGGGCGCGUAGGCGGCCUUCUAAGUCGAACGUGAAAUCCCCGGGCUCAACCCGGGAACUGCGUCCGAUACUGGGAGGCUUGAAUCCGGGAGAGGGAUGUGGAAUUCCAGGUGUAGCGGUGAAAUGCGUAGAUAUCUGGAGGAACACCGGUGGCGAAGGCGGCAUCCUGGACCGGUAUUGACGCUGAGGCGCGAAAGCUGGGGGAGCAAACGGG
rnacentral:rRNA from 1 species